UACGUAGGGUGCAAGCGUUGUCCGGAAUUAUUGGGCGUAAAGAGCGUGUAGGCGGCCCGAUUAGUCCGCUGUGAAAGUCCAGGGCUCAACCCUGGAAUGCCGGUGGAUACUGUCGGGCUAGAGUCCGGAAGGGGCGAGUGGAAUUCCUGGUGUAGCGGUGAAAUGCGCAGAUAUCAGGAGGAACACCGGUGGCGAAGGCGGGUCUCUGGGCAAUAACUGACGCUGAGGAGCGAAAGCGUGGGGAGCGAACAGG
rnacentral:rRNA from 1 species